UAUGACUUAAGCCACGCGAGCAAACUGUGAAUGUGAAUUUGUUUGUUCGUUCGGCUCGAGUUAUAA
rnacentral:pre_miRNA from 1 species